CCCUACGGGGCUGCAGCAGGCGCGAAAACUUUACAAUGCGGGAAACCGUGAUAAGGGGACACCGAGUGCCAGCAUCCUAUGCAUGGCUGUCCGUGGUGUGUAAAAUACACCUGAUAGCAAGGGCCGGGCAAGACCGGUGCCAGCCGCCGCGGUAACACCGGCGGCCCGAGUGGUAAUCGUGAUUAUUGGGUCUAAAGGGUCCGUAGCCGGUUUGGUCAGUCCUCCGGGAAAUCUGACAGCUUAACUGUUAGGCUUUCGGAGGAUACUGCCAGACUUGGAACCGGGAGAGGUAAGAGGUACUACAGGGGUAGGAG
rnacentral:rRNA from 1 species